rnacentral:rRNA from 1 species
CCUACGGGAGGCAGCAGUGAGGAAUAUUGGGCAAUGGGCUUACGCCUGAACCAGCAAAGUCGCGUGAGGGAAGAAUGCCCUAUGGGUUGUAAACCUCUUUUGUCAGGGAGCAACGCCGGCUACGUGUAGCCGGACUGAGAGUACCUGAAGAAAAAGCAUCGGCUAACUCCGUGCCAGCAGCCGCGGUAAUACGGGGGAUGCGAGGGUUAUCCGGAUUUAUGGGGGUAAAGGGGUGCGUAGGGGGAAUGCCAAGUCAGCGGGAAAAUCGCGGGGCUCAACCUCGCUCCGCAGUUGAAACUGGCGUUCUUGAGUGGGCGAGAGGUAUACGGAAUGCGUGGUGUAGCGGUGAAAUGCGUAGAUAUCACGAAGAACUCC